rnacentral:rRNA from 1 species
GACGAACCGAGCGAACGUUGUUCGGAAUCACUGGGCUUAAAGGGCGCGUAGGCGGGCCGCCAAGUUCGAGGUGAAAUCCUCCGGCUCAACCGGAGAACUGCCUCGAAUACUGGAGGUCUCGAGGGUGGUAGGGGCACGCGGAACUGUGGGUGGAGCGGUGAAAUGCGUUGAUAUCCACAGAAACUCCGGUGGCGAAGGCGGCGUGCUGGACCACAUCUGACGCUGAGGCGCGAAAGCCAGGGGAGCAAACGGG